rnacentral:lncRNA from 1 species
CUAAUUUAUAUACAAAAUAAUUAAUAUAAUUAUUCUAAUUUUAUUUUAUGAUUGCAUAAAAAAUAUAAUUAUAUUAUUUUUUGUUUAUUAUAAUAUAAUUUAUUAUUUAUUAAGUUACUUAAGAAGCAAUAAUAUCAUGUAGAAGGUAAGUUUACCAAGAGUGCGGGAAUUGAACAAUUUUCGGUGAAACAAACAGAGGAAAUAGGAAACUGCACUUUUUAUGUCAUUCAUUUUCUGCCAAACAAAUAGUAAAAUUACAUAACUUCACUUCUACAGCUAUAAAAACAAACAGCAGAGAUGAAGUAAUUAUUACAUGAAUUGUUGUUCAUCCCAAAGUCUACUUACGUUGAAACAAAAUAGGUCCUAAAUGUAACUUUUGAAUCACAUGGUGGUAAAGUAAAAAAAUGAGUUAAAUCACAUGGUAAUUAAGUGCAACUUUUUCGAACAAUAAACUUACUAUCCCUAGCGCAAGUAGCAAAUACUUUGAUGGUUGGUACUUGAGAUGUCACGUCCAAAGUCUAGUUUGUUACUUUACAAUUCUAGGUAAAUCCAUUUCUGAAAAAAAAAGAACUAAACGGAUAAUAUGUCGCGGCAAGGUUGAGGAGCGCGAGGCUGAGGAGCAUGUGGAGGAGAGAUCGGAGAGGUGAAGAAGAGGGAGGAGAGAGAAAAGGUGGAGGAGAGGGGGAUAGCUCAAUCAAGGUCGAGCUACGCGUGUGAGGAGGGGGUGCAAAUGGGGUGGGUGGCGAAUAGGGUUAAGGUGGGAGAUGCGUUGUGAG